rnacentral:rRNA from 1 species
UACAGAGGUCUCAAGCGUUGUUCGGAUUCAUUGGGCGUAAAGGGUGCGUAGGUGGCGUCGUAAGUCAGGUGUGAAAUCUCGGGGCUUAACUCCGAAACUGCAUUUGAUACUGCGGUGCUUGAGGACUGGAGAGGAGACUGGAAUUUACGGUGUAGCAGUGAAAUGCGUAGAGAUCGUAAGGAAGACCAGUGGCGAAGGCGGGUCUCUGGACAGUUCCUGACACUGAGGCACGAAGGUCAGGGGAGCAAACGGG